AGAGUUUGAUCAUGGCUCAGAAUCAACGCUGGCGGCGUGCCUCAGACAUGCAAGUCGAACGAUUAAACUUUCCUUCGGGAGAGAUAUAAAGUGGCGCACGGGUGAGUAACACGUAGGUAAUGUACCUUUGGGUGGGGAAUAACUUAGGGAAACUUAAGCUAAUACCGCAUAAUGCAGCGGCUCCUUCGGGAGACAGUUGUUAAAGCGUUUACGCGCCUAAAGAGCAGCCUGCGGCAGAUUAGCCAGUUGGUGGGGUAACGGCCUACCAAAGCAGCGAUCGGUAGCUGGUCUGAGAGGAUGACCAGCCAGACUGGGACUGGGACACGGCCCAGACUCCUACGGGAGGCAGCAGUUAGGAAUUUUGGGCAAUGGCCGCAAGGCUGACCCAGCAACGCCGCGUGGGGGAUGAAGGCUCUCGGGUUGUAAACCCCUUUUCCCAGGGACGAUGAUGACGGUACCUGGGGAAUCAGCCCCGGCUAACUACGUGCCAGCAGCCGCGGUAAUACGUAGGGGGCAAGCGUUGUCCGGAUUUAUUGGGCGUAAAGCGCGCGUAGGCGGCGCGACAAGUCGGCCGUGAAAUCUCCCGGCUCAACUGGGAGGGGACGGGCGAGACUGUCGGGCUGGAGGCGGGCAGGGGGCAGUGGAAUUCCGGGUGUAGUGGUGGAAUGCGUAGAGCUCCGGAGGAACACCAGUGGCGAAGGCGGCUGCCUGGGCCUGGCCUGACGCUGAGGCGCGAAAGCGUGGGGAGCGAGCCGGAUUAGAUACCCCCGUAGUCC
rnacentral:rRNA from 1 species